AGCUCCUUGCAGCUCCCCUCUGCCUGCUGGAUGGGACGCUUCCCGAUUCAGGAAUUGCUUAAUAAAGCCAAUUACAUCUUCACAUUUACUCGUAAUCUCUUUGCCCAGUGUGGGGCUUGAACUCUCAACCCCAAGAUCAAGAGUACCAUGCUGUACUGACUGAGCCAGCCAGGCACCCCCGGCCAUAUGAAGGUUUACAGGAACUGCCACCCCCACUUGAAGCUGCUCAGGCUAGCCUGCUGGGGACACGUGACCCAUCCACUAGCAAGUGCCAACUGCCGUCUUAGACCAGCCAGCCGCAUUCAAGUCACUAGAUGACCACAGCCACGUGAGUGACCCCAAACAAAUGCAGCAGAGGAACCGCCCGACUGAUCCCGACCCAACUGGUGACCCACACAAUCGUGAGCAAAUAAAAUGAUUACCGCCUUAAGACGCUAUUUACUGGGAUGGCUUGCUGUAUAGCCAAGGUUAACAGAUACAGAGGAGAAUUAUGGAAAAAGGUCCUGUCCUUUUUCCAUAACUGGUGGAGUUGGUAGAAUAGGGACAUACAGUAUGGAUGGCUGGUGUUACUAAGGGACCACUUAAGAGUCCUACUCAUUGAGUUUAAGGACAUUCAGUCAGUCUGGUUGGGCUUUUUUCUAGCCACAUUCAGUUACAUGGGUGCAGGUGUGGUCUAGGGGAGAAAUGAAUAUAAUCAGGGUAGGGAUUUUUGCCAAGCAAGUACAACAAUGCCAGAGGAUCAGGUGGGGUGGACAUGUCUACAAGGGAAUCAUGAUCGUCAUUUACCAUGGGCUGCAACCUCAGAAAAUACAGGACAUCAAGGAGUUCAGAUGAAGUGAAAAGGUCGUUGGACCUUGUUAAAUUUCUACCAUGGGGGGUAAAGGUUUUUUUUUUUUUUUUUUUUUUUUUUUUUGGCAUCAGGACACUAGGGAGAAUGAACUAGAAAAAGAGGAAGUGGUGGUCAGAGAGUCUGGUACACGAAUUAGAGAUUAUGAAAAGAGAGUAGUUAUUGCGGAUGACAAGGUUUAUGACAUGACUAUAGCAAUAAGUGGCCGAAUAGAUAGGACAAGAUGGUGGGAGGAGAAACAGCAAGAAAGUAAGAGGCCAGGCUGUGGCAGGAUCAUCUAUGUGGAUAUUGAAAUCACCAGGAAUUAGGCCAGCGCUAAUACUGGGGAAGGUGGCCGUUGGCCAGGAGCUAAGAUAGUCAAGAAACGUCGGGUGGGGGUCCCUAGGUAACUGUAACAAGAAAGGAUCGUGUCGGGCCAUUAUGUGGUGGCAUUCGAUUCUAAGCUGGGGCAUUUAAGGGCAGAGGGCCAAGAGGAAGAAUGGCCUGGAAGUGUGAACAAGGAAGAAG